rnacentral:rRNA from 1 species
CCUACGGGGUGCAGCAGUGGGGAAUAUUUGGCAAUGGGCGCAAGCCUGACCCAGCAACGCCGCGUGAAGGAAGAAGGCUUUCGGGUUGUAAACUUCUUUUCUGAGGGACGAAGAAAGUGACGGUACCUCAGGAAUAAGCCACGGCUAAAUACGUGCCAGCAGCCGCGGGAAUACGUAGGUGGCAAGCGUUAUCCGUGUUGAUUGGGUGUAAAGGGCGUGUAGGCGGGAAAGCAAGUCAGAUGUGAAAACUCAGGGCUCAACCCUGAGCCUGCAUUUGAAACUGUUUUUCUUGAGUGCUGGAGAGGCAAUCGGAAUUCCGUGUGUAGCGGUGAAAUGCGUAGAUAUAAGGAGGAACACCAGUGGCGAAGGCGGAUUGCUGGACAGUAACUGACGCUGAGGCGCGAAAGCGUGGGGAGCAAACAGGAUUAGAUACCCUUGUAGUC